UACGGAGGGUGCGAGCGUUAAUCGGAAUUACUGGGCGUAAAGGGUGCGUAGGUGGUUGUAUAAGUUAACUGUGAAAUCCCUGGGCUUAACCUGGGCAGGUCAGUUAAGACUGUAUGACUCGAGUAUGGGAGAGGGUAGUGGAAUUUCCGGUGUAGCGGUGAAAUGCGUAGAGAUCGGAAGGAACACCGGUGGCGAAGGCGGCUACCUGGCCUAAUACUGACACUGAGGCACGAAAGCGUGGGGAGCAAACAGG
rnacentral:rRNA from 1 species